CAGUCGCCGCGGGAAUACGUAGGUGGCAAGCGUUGUCCGGAAUUAUUGGGCGUAAAGGGCUCGCAGGCGGUUUCUUAAGUCUGAUGUGAAAGCCCCCAGCUCAACCGGGGAGGGUCAUUGGGAACUGGGAAACUUGAGUGCAGAAGAGGAGAGUGGAAUUCCACGUGUAGCGGUGAAAUGCGUAGAGAUGUGGAGGAACACCAGUGGCGAAGGCGACUCUCUGGUCUGUAACUGACGCUGAGGAGCGAAAGCGUGGGGAGCGAACAGGAUUAGAUACCCCAGUAGUCCCUGUCUCUUAUAC
rnacentral:rRNA from 1 species